rnacentral:rRNA from 1 species
AUUGAACGCUGGCGGCAGGCCUAACACAUGCAAGUCGAGCGGAUGAAGGGAGCUUGCUCCUGGAUUCAGCGGCGGACGGGUGAGUAAUGCCUAGGAAUCUGCCUGGUAGUGGGGGAUAACGUCCGGAAACGGGCGCUAAUACCGCAUACGUCCUGAGGGUGAAAGUGGGGGAUCUUCGGACCUCACGCUAUCAGAUGAGCCUAGGUCGGAUUAGCUAGUUGGUGGGGUAAAGGCCUACCAAGGCGACGAUCCGUAACUGGUAUGAGAGGAUGAUCAGUCACACUGGAAGUGAGACACGGUCCAGAAUCCUACGGGAGGCAGCAGUGGGGAAUAUUGGACAAUGGGCGAAAGCCUGAUCCAGCCAUGCCGCGUGUGUGAAGAAGGUCUUCGGAUUGUAAAGCACUUUAAGUUGGGAGGAAGGGCAGUAAGUUAAUACCUUGCUGUUUUGACGUUACCAACAGAAUAAGCACCGGCUAACUUCGUG